AAAAACCUCUUCUGGACGGCUAGUGGGAACUCCUCAGAGAGCACUCAGCCAGACGGACCUGCCUUCUCCUUCUGGUCCCUGUCCGGACUUCCAGGGCUUUGCCGUGUCAGGAGAAUGAGUUAGACUUCACCCGUCCAGUUCUGGGCGAGAGACAAACCUGCGGAGAAUUUGCCCUACAUUUGUGAUUGCCUGUACAGCUGGAAGCUGGAAGAGCGAGGCGUCCACAACCCGCCCCGAAGAGCCCUUCCCUUACCCCAAGUCAAGAAAAAUAUGGAUCUGAAAAUUGCCCCGCGUUGCACAACACUGUCCAGCUGCAGAGGAACACGAGGCAAAAGGCUGAGUAGAGACUCGGGAGAGCAUCUCUCUCAGCCUGGGCGACAGGAGCGCUGGUCCCUUGGAGUCGGCGAGUGAGGGAUGGGUGAAGUGGUCCAGGGCUCAGCCCCGAGCGUUGUAAGACACAGCCCGCUCUGCCACGCGGUUUGAAAGCUAAAAUGCAACCUUCACCAGGUUCCCUAUUUACUGCAUCCCCGAUCCUCACCCUCACCAUCCUCCGCCUGGAUCUAGCAGGGGGGCACCUGCCAAUUCCUCGCUGGAGGAAAACGAUCUCACUUGCUCGGAGCUUCCCAGUUGCUUGUAAGGUGCAUCUUUACCACGAUUGAUUCACCAUCUCACAGCGGGGAUAAAUGACACCGCCUGCGGGAACUGCUGCUCCGGCCUCUGGCUUUGGGGACGGACAGCGAUCUGAGCUGGGGUGGCAGUAUCCGUCCACCUCAGGCUGCUGCCACGAGGAAGACGAAGGAGAUUUUCGCUUGUAGCUUUUUAUUUUGUUGUAUUUUUUUUUCUUAGAAAGCCCGCUAUCAAUCCUUAUUCCGUCCACUUUGCUUUCCGCAGUCCCCCCUUACAGCAGCACUGGAAGGAGCGGAAUAACCAACCUCCUUGAUGUGGGAAUAGGUUAACGGAAAGAAUGAACUCCGGGAAGAAAAUCCUGGCCCCAUGGAAAUCCGCAGUAACUCUCCCCUUGAUUUCAGCGGGGCCAGGAUUUCUACCUCCCCCCUCUCCUCCCCUGAAGGUUUAUGAUCCACGGUAGAUGUGGGACCUACCUGCAUUCAGACGUGGCCGGUGGUUUUAAUUGGGGCUGGUCCUGCUCUGAGCAGGGGGUUGGACUAAGUGACCUCCUGAGGUCUCUUCCACCCUCAUUGUCUAGGAGUCUUUGAUUUUUAUUUUGGGGGGAGGAGGCUCGCUCUGCUCACCGUGUGAAACUAACCGUCCUGAUUUUAAGAGGACAGGUGCUUCUGUCCUUCUGGAAGCCUGUCCUCUUUCAAGUGGUCCCCAAGACCCAGAGACCGCCCCCCACCUCCCCAAUCGCUGUCCCUUUGGACAAUGCAGGUCCUUGGCUCCCCAGUGCUGCAGACACCGUGCCAGGGCUGUCCCUGUGGCUCUUUAUCCUCGGCGGUUGAUUGCUGGGAUAAACAUCCACUAGCAAUGCCUCUCCGGGCUCGGAAAGGCAACGAGCCCUUGGCUUUCCCCCCUGAGCAGCGGGCCUGCCCCAUCACUAUUUCUUCAUAUGAUCCUUCUAGCUCUCUACCAAGCUAACUUCAAAAAAAAAAGAAAAAGAAAAAGAACAGACCCCCAAAACCAAAACAACCCCAACCCCCAAACAAAACAAAACAAAACAAACCAAAACAAACCCAAAAAGGGAAGAGGGAAGGUCUUUGCCCUGGGGGUGGAUUUCAAGAGCCUGAUGCCAACCCCAUUGACGUCUCCCUCCAGUUGAUCCCCACGGACGCAUGCAGAUCAUGCUGCCCCCCCCCCCCCGUUGCUGUGUUCAUUAUGGGGACACCAGCACCUGGGACCAGCCUGAUCUGCAGUCCCUGCGGAUCAACGGGAGGGAGACUUGUUAUUCUGUUGAAUUACUUUUUUCUUACAAAGCCCUCUAUCCCUUCUCCUUCCUUCUGCUUUGCUUUCCGCACUCCCCGCUUCCAGCAACGCAGGAAGGCGCCGAAUACCCACCCCCCUGGAUGUGGGAAUAGGUUGAUGGAAAGAAUGAACUCCGGGACGAAAAUCAGGAUCAGGAUCUGCCUUUCACCUCCCACCUCCCCCAGCUCUGCGCACCCACAGGGGGUCUCCAAGCAGGGUGGACACGGAGGACAGUCCGGUUGUCCUCUAUUGAGACGAAACCCGAGAAAAGAGAAAAAGGGAGGACACGAAGGCGUUGGGUUGGAUGACCACCCCAGCUCCAAGGCGGAGGGGAGCUCGGGGGCAGCGCAAAGGCUGAUGGCUCUGAGCAGGACCCUCUCCCUUCUCUCCUUCUAGGAGGUCACUGGCAGGGGCCAGGCUCUUGGCAGCACUCGUGGCAUUCCCCGCCUCCUGCGGGGCGUCCCAGCCCUGGGAAUGCCCUCCCUGCCUUUUACCAGGGCGCACAAUGACCGGGGGCGGGGGCGUCUCUUGGCAUAUGGUGCACCUGUCAGGGCGCAGCUUGAGCCGGGCACCGUGACCUUCACAGGGCGAAGGGAACAGGACAGUGCCUGGGGCUGGGGGCAGGGACAGGAAAGGGAGGGGCUGGGCGUCCUGGUCUCUGCUCCCCCAGCUGCUCCCAGCCCGCCCCGAGGGGAGCAGCGCAAAUCCUCCAGCAUCCCCCCGCGGGGCCGGGCGGACCCCGAGCCCCGGAGACCGCCCCCCCCCAGCAUCCCAGCAUCCGCCGUGUGGGCACGAUCCUCCCCCAGGUUGGGCUCCCGUCCUGGGCGGGCGGGCGCGUGUGAGGAGCGGGGCGAUGUGCCCCGCGACCGCGAUGAAUCGCCCGCUCGCAGCCCGCGUGGGAGCGGGGCCAUAGUCCGAGGUGCGGCCACUGCCCCGCCUCCAGCUGCCACUUCUGCCCUCCCUCGCAGAGCACCGCCAUCCUUAUCCAGGAAUAGGAAUAGCGACAGCGAUUAUGUCGGAUUCUUGUCACCAGUAAGAUACCAGGGGGCCGCAGCACAAAAGGAGGAUAGGGAUUCGGAUCUUAUUAAUCGCUGCAAUAAAAGCCAUUAGUACCAUUA